rnacentral:rRNA from 1 species
AUUUAUUGGGUUUAAAGGGAGCGUAGGCCGGAGAUUAAGCGUGUUGUGAAAUGUAGAUGCUCAACAUCUGCACUGCAGCGCGAACUGGUUUCCUUGAGUACGCACAAAGUGGGCGGAAUUCGUGGUGUAGCGGUGAAAUGCUUAGAUAUCACGAAGAACUCCGAUUGCGAAGGCAGCUCACUGGAGCGCAACUGACGCUGAAGCUCGAAAGUGCGGGUAUCGAACAGGAUUAGAUACCCUGGUAGUCCGCACGGUAAACGAUGGAUGCCCGCUGUUGGUCUGAAUAGGUCAGCGGCCAAGCGAAAGCAUUAAGCAUCCCACCUGGGGAGUACGCCGGCAACGGUGCAACUCAAAGG